GCCCAGGGCCAGAACGUCUCAAUUAGGACAAAUCCCCCUUCCCCCAGCUCACACACGCCAGAUGACCCCUUGCUGCUGGCUCCAGCUUUGGCACCCUUUGGCCUGGAGCGGUCUGUGACACCAGUCACUCUUGGUUCAUGGAAUUAAAUGAGCCCUUUGUGCACAACGGCAGCUGGCAGCCCUGGGAAGCGUGAUCCCCAGAGAGCAGGGGCAGGGGCCCAGCAGCCUGCCCCUACUGGUCACGGGGCUUGUUCCACGCUCCACAGAUCUCCUUAACCCCUGUCCAUCUGGGUUGAGAGCUGGGUGCAGGAGCCAACCUGCACUGGUGGUGUUGGCUGGUGAGCAUUCCCACAAAGAGGAUGAGAGAACAUACAACACAUGCCAGAUGCUAGUCGCUUUGCUUAAUCCGCUACGGAAGCCGCUCAGCUACGACGGUGUCCUGCCGAGGCAGAAGUCAGCUCUGAACCGCUACCACAUGAAGAAAAAGGAAGCAAAAUUUAAUAGUGACAUCUACUUCCUGAGCAAAUGCACUAAACAAAACAUCAUCCCCCAAGGUCUCACCAUCUAUAAUGCGCUGACCAGGUAACCAGUCUGUUACGCCUCGCAUUUUGCUGUGCUGCUGGGAAUUCCUUACCCAGACCUGAAGAAGAGCUCUGUGUAGGGUGACCAGA